UGUAAUGUAAAUCAAAAUUUGCAUUUUUAAAGACAAAAUAAGCACAUCAAAAAAGACAUUUCUCGCUUGUGACAGGUCUACUUUGGACUCCUCUGAGAGCCCUGAGGAGAAUGGUUCACUGUCCCAAAUCUUAGGGACUUCAAAUCUUAGAAGUCCUCCGGAGGAAAUUCUUAGAGCAGCGACGACAACCUUAGACAAACUUAAACAGCAGACAGAGGGCAGGUAUGAAGAGGUCUUAGGUGAUGUUCCUGAGAGUUGGGGCCAGUGGGGUGCAUGAAGUCGCAGGAGAGUCUGGAGCCCUCCGGCAGGACAGCCUGAGGAGGCAGGACUGCAAGGAAGCCUCUGAGGAGGACUGCACUUCUCUCCACUGGGAGGAAAGGAAGCACUGGUUCCUACCCAGCCACUGUCUCCCUGAUCUAGAGGAAUAUGAAGGAGGAUAAAAAUACCCAGGCUGAGCACCUUGCCAAAUAUUUCCAAGAACCUGUUUACUGACCAUUUGAUUGACUUGGAGAGAUCUGGUCAGCAGCUCCAUCACCCAAAAAGGACUGAGAAUGAAACUUGCUUGACAUCCCAGGUCUCAGGCACGUGGAAUUCACAACCCUGUCCCCAUGAUCGCCCAUCUUCCUCCUUCUCCCAUCACUCUGUUGCCUGGAGAUGGCCAAUCAAUAGGUAGUCAGAAAAAUCUCAGCCUUCCGAGUCUGCUCCUUCUUUUCUCUUUACAUAACAGGUCCCACAGAGGGUGGGAAAGGGUCAAGCCAAGGGAAAGGUCGGGAUUGAAUAGAAG
rnacentral:lncRNA from 1 species